CGGCCUCCACGGCCCCUGCCCCACGCCUCCCCGACCGCGGACCCAGCUCCGCCCUGGCAGGCCUCCACGGCCCCGCCCCGCGCCGCCCCGACCAUGGCCCCCACUCCGCCCCGGCCGGUCUCCAUGGCCACGCCCCGGCAAGAGACAACCAGCAUCCAAGACCCUCCCGAAUCCGGCGAGAUCCGCGCCAUGUUGAGACUGCACCAUCGGAUACCCAGGCGUGGAUUUGGGCUCUGCCUUUGGCUGCUGUACGUGGUUCUUGUGCCAGUGCGGUUCACCGGCGAUACAUGGUGUAGUGCACCUCGACGUGUGGUGCGGCUCAGAACAAUUUUUGCGCGUGGCUCGGUUGCCGGGUCACUGCAGAAGCCUCCUACCCUUCUGUACCACUUCCUCCCCUUGUUUCCUUCCCCACGACCGUCCCCCGGCGAGGAGAAACUCCACUGCAGUUUGGUCGUUCAGCCGGCGACGAGCUCGUGCACAUAAAUCGUGGAUGCAGUACAGUUUUGGUUUCGACCAUAACAAAAAGCAGCUCACUGUGUAGGUGCGGGGUUCAGAGACUCGAUUGCAAGUUUCUACCAUGUCGCGAGGAAAAGAUGGAGUGAUGCAGUUCUAUUGGAUGCCCCAUUGCUCAAAUUUGCUCUUGUUGAAAACUGCACUUCAUUAGUUCAUUGUAAAAACACUGCAGCUCAUUACCGCGAUUCGGCUGGUGGAGAGUGCAGAUUAUGUAUGCGUGUGUAGCUGUGUAUAACAAUCAGAUGGAUGUGCAUCUUUUGAAGCU